GCCGAGAUAGCUCAGCUGGUAGAGCACGCGACUGAAAAUCGCGGUGUCGGCAGUUCAAGUCUGCCUCUCGGCACCA
rnacentral:tRNA from 1 species